rnacentral:rRNA from 1 species
AUGAAUUGCAUAUCAUGGAACUGCCGCGGCCUUGGGAACCCGGAGACAGUUCGAGAACUUCACGAUUUGGUGAAGAGAGAAGCUCCCUCCCUAGUCUUUGUAUCGGAGACAGAGAUUGAGGGAAGAAGGGUUAGUGAUCUCACUGGCCGGCUUGGUUUUGAGGGUUGCUAUCCUGUCAAUACUGAUGGCCUCAGUGGAGGACUAGCAUUGUUUUGGUCCAAUAAAGUAGAUGUUACUCUUAAUAAUUUUUCAGAUCAGCAUAUUGAUGUUUCAGUUACGAAUUUAGUUGGUGACAAUAAGAAGUGGCGGUUUACGGGUUUCUAUGCAAAAGCUAGACGAAGUGAACAUGCAAAAAGUUGGAACUUGUUGCGAUGGUUGAAGGCUCAAAGUGAUGCCCCAUGGCUUUGUGGGGGUGAUUUUAAUGAAAUCUUGGACAAUGCAGAAUACUUUGGAGCUCAUGAUCGCCCUGAGUGGUAG